rnacentral:lncRNA from 1 species
UCAAAUCAGCUUUGCUACUAACUGCUUGGCAUCUGAUUGUUUGCUUAGCUUAUGAGACUUUUAGAGGUUAAAACAAACUUGUGGAAGCUUUUGUUUCUCUUGUAAGGCUUUGUUGCGCUCCUUUCUACUAUCACUUUAUGGAAUUAUUGAUGGCGUUUGUUGAAAAAUCUUCUGAUUUGUCGUUUGUCUGUGUUGUUGUGUGUGUUUUGCUGCAGACAGUGGUUCCUCUCAAUACAUGGGUUUUGAUAUCCAACUUCAAGCUAGCCUACAACCUCCUCCGCCGCCCUGACGGAACCUUCAACCGCCACCUGGCUGAGUUUCUAGACCGUAAAGUCCCUGCAAACGCCAACCCCGUCAAUGGAGUCUUCUCGUUCGAUGUCAUCAUGGAUCGCCAAACCAAUCUCCUCAGCCGAGUAUACAGACCGGCUUUUGCUGGUGACCCACCAAGUUUUACUGACCUUCAGAAGCCUGUUGAUGGUGAAGUAGUGCCAGUCAUUGUCUUCUUCCACGGCGGAAGCUUUGUGCAUUCCUCUGCAAACAGUGCUAUCUACGACACUCUUUGCCGCAGGCUUGUUGGUCUGUGCGGUUCGGUUGUUGUCUCUGUGAACUAUCGACGCGCUCCGGAGAAUCGUUACCCUUGCGCUUAUGAUGAUGGCUGGACUGCUCUGAACUGGGUCAACUCGAGACCCUGGCUUCAAAGCAGGAAAGACUCAAAGGUUCAUAUCUUCUUGGCGGGUGAUAGCUCUGGAGGGAACAUAGCGCAUAACGUCGCGGUGAGAGCGGUUGAGUCAGGGAUUGAUGUGUUGGGGAACGUUCUGCUUAACCCUAUGUUUGGAGGGACGGAGAGAACUGAAUCCGAGACGCGUUUGGAUGGGAAGUACUUUGUGACGGUGAGAGACCGUGAUUGGUAUUGGAGAGCGUUUCUCCCCGAGGGAGAGGACAGAGAGCAUCCAGCGUGUAGCCCGUUUGGUCCGAAAAGCAAGAGUUUAGAAGGUUUGAGUUUCCCCAAGAGUCUUGUCGUUGUGGCGGGUUUGGACUUGAUUCAAGAUUGGCAGCUGAAGUACGCGGAAGGGCUGAAGAGAGCAGGUCAAGAGGUGAAGCUUCUUUACUUGGAUCAAGCCACCAUUGGGUUCUACUUGUUGCCUAAUAACAAUCACUUCCAUACCGUUAUGGAGGAGAUAGCUGCGUUUGUGAACGCAGAGUGCCAAUGAAAAACGCUAUUAUCUCUCACUAACAAACGGGUGAAACUCUACCGCGGAAAGGUGAAGGAAGGCCCGAGAUUCUCGUUUUAGAAGCUCCCUUGUAUGGCGUUUAACUACUACCACGGAGGUUGUGGUGGCGUCUGCGUUUGUGAACCGUGCGAAGCUGGAUUCUGAGAGCAAAGCAGGAAGAAUAACAGUGAAGCCGGUAAUGUUUGGCUUUUAGCGUUAGCGUUUUAACUAAAACUACAGCUAUGUUUUUUUUCAGCUUGCGGUUGAUAGUAACUCUGGUUAUGUUACUAUUAUGAUAUUUUCAGUAUAUAUAUAUAUAUUGCGUAAUGAAACAAUAUGUGUUUAUAGGUUGUUGUAACUUGAGCAGUGUGGUUGGUGUUGUGUUUGCUUAAUCUGCAACUGAGAUAUUUUCUUAAUGCAAUGAAUAAGAAAGCAUUCACUUGAAGAAAUAAAUGUAUACAGUUCUAGUGAUUACGUUCACUAUAUUCAAAACUAAAUGUCCAGAUUCACUCCGCUUGUAGGCUUUAUUGCAAAUCUAAUCAUUGACAAAAGAUUUUGAUGUUUAAGUCUUUUGUGUUCUUCUUUCAAUGUAAAACCAAACUGUCUAGUGGAGUAAAGCGCAUCGCAUUUGGACCACCCCCACAAGGGGAACAAAACAAAGAAGAAAUUGACUCUUCAGUGGAUAUGCAAUGCAAUAUUGUUACUUUUGUGUUAAAAGGGUUUUGUUUUUUAUGAGAUGUAUCUUUGCACAAUGAUGAGACAUACAAUAGUUUUGUAAUAAACAAUUAAUUGUAUAUGGAGUCCACAUAAACUCAAGACGUGCAAUUACAACCAAAAAAGUAGACAUGUUAGGUUUGGUAAGAUGCUUCAUCUUCAAGCACAAAUAUCUCAAUCUAUUAGCACAAUGUCUUCACGUAUUUGAAAUUUAAGUACUUAUAAAAUUAGUAAUUAUACAAUAUACAAAACCAAAAACAUUAUUCACAAUUUGUCAUUGAUAUUACACAGGAUGAUGACGGACAUGACCAACUGAUUUGUGUUUGUAGAUGAAAGCUAUAACAUGAUAAUUAAUAAAUGGUACUUAAGGAAGUUGAAUAUACACAAUCUUUUCAACUAAAAGUUGCAAUUUAUAUAUAGCUUAAAAUAAGGGAUAAGAAACAAACAAGUUUAUUACUUCUGAAGAUCAGCUACAUGUUCUCAGAGAAUAGUAGCAGAAUCACAGACAUGAAAGGGAAAAGGUUUACAUCAUAUAGUUGAUCAAACCAACUACAUAGAAGGUUUAGAAGUUAAACAGCGAAAAAUAGAAAACUCGAAUGCGAUAAUGUUGUCUGAGAGUUAAAAACGGCAGUAUCAUCUUCAAGCUUUUCACUUAAUCGCAGCUGCAUAGGCAACCGAAGCAGCCAUGAAGAGAGUAGUAAUAGAUGACACAAGUGUCCAGAAGCUCUUCUUGUCAUGUGCAUCUUUCACUGAAUGCUUCAUCGUCUCUAUUUCCUUCUUCAUCUCCUCAACCAUGCUUUCUUUGUUCUUGAAAGCUUUCUUGAUCGCUUCUACCUCCACCGAGUACGAAUCCACUCCCUUCUCUCCUCGCUUCUGCUCGCCUUUUUUGUUGUCUUGUCCACACACUAGAGAGGACACAGUCUUUAGCAUUGUUAGACCACGCUUCGCAUUGGUUCCAGCAGAUUCUAGUUCCGUUUUCAACACACCCAUAGCUUUCUUGACCUCCACAAGAUCCUUUUGGAGGAUACCCUUUUCCUUUCGCAACGCCUCAGAACGAUUCUCCAGUUCCUUCUUCUCUUUAAUCAAUCUCCCUCGGUCAGCCUUGAUCUUCUCAAGCUCUUUACCAGAAGCUUGAAUCGUUUUCUCUAGCUCUGCAACCUUUUCCUUAAGAGCCACCCGACUCUUCUUCUCCUCAUCAAGAGCCUUCCCGGCGUUGUCUCUCUCGACCUCCACCAGGGCCAGAGCAUCCUUAAGCUGGCUAACGUCGCAGCUAAGCUUCUCGCUAGUCUUGAUUUGAUCAUUAUAAUCAUUCCGCAGCUUUGUAUGUGUUUUUUGUUGCAGACAGUGGUUCCUCUCAAUACAUGGGUUUUGAUAUCCAACUUCAAGCUAGCCUACAACCUCCUCCGCCGCCCUGACGGAACCUUCAACCGCCACCUCGCUGAGUUUCUAGACCGUAAAGUCCCUGCAAACGCCAACCCCGUAAACGGAGUCUUCUCGUUCGAUGUCAUCAUGGAUCGCCAAACCAAUCUCCUUAGCCGAGUAUACAGACCUGCUUACGCUGGCGGCGACCCGC